GUUUAUUUCAUUUUUAUUACCAAAAAAUUAUUAAAAAUUCAACUUAGAUCGCUUAGUACUAUCGCUAAUCUACCUACUAAACUAAUCUAUCUUGAAUCUUCUACCCUUAUAACUAAAAACUUAUUCAAUAUGGAUGUUGAAAUACUGGCAGUGGAAAAAUACAUUUCUUGUUUAUAAUAUUGUACAGAAUCAUAAUUACUAUUCAGCUAUUCUGCCGUCUUUUGUAAAACGCGGCUAACCAUAUAAAGUAGUUUGUGACUUAACCGCAAAAAACAUGGGAAUCAUCAGUUUUCAAAAAUCCCUUCUGAAAACUCAAAAAGUAUUUUUUUGGAGUUAGCCGCUUUUUAGAAAAAGGACGACAGUAUUGUGUAAACGUGACCAAUAAAUGUUAUACAUGGGAUAUUAUUUUAUUGCAAAAAUGUAUUAGGUAUGUUCUUAGUAAUUAGAUUUGGCUGUAUUAAUAACAUAUGUGAUAAAU